rnacentral:rRNA from 1 species
AUGUGUUUUUCUAGUCGGGGCCCAUCUGCCAGAGACUCACCCCCUCCCAGUGUCUGUCGCUACUCGCUACUCGCGAGCGCCCCUGCAAAAUUCUACUGCCAGUUCGGACCCCUCGUCAAAAGAAAAAGAAAAAAAUUGGGAGUCGCGACUCUGCGAGCCCGAAUGCCGCCAUGGCCGGCAACAAGUUCUCGUCCUAGCACCUCGCCGCGAGCGCGACCCCUCCGCCGCACUCCGCCUCUUCCUCAACCCGACGAGCGCGACCCCUCCGGUUGCCUGCACCUACAACAUCCUCAUGCGCGUGGCCUGGUGGCCGCGCCCGCCUCCAUCGAGCACGCCCGCCUCCUGUUCGAUGAAAUGUUACAACGAGGGUCGCCCCCAACCGUUGUCAUGCUUGGCACCCUCGUCGCCGCGUUCUGUGAUCGUGGUCAGCUCAAGGAGGCAUUUGACGUCAAGGACGCCAUGGCCAAACACUAA